GGUAGUUUAGCUUUGGGUCUUGUGUUUGAAUCUUUUUGAGUGUUUUAGAUAUUUAAAUAUUAUUUUAUUUUAUUUUAUUUUGAGAGAGAAUUUUUUUCUAAAAACACAUUUUUUUCACGUUCUUCCUCAUUCUUUUUGUUCUCUCUAGUAUCCUCUGUUAUUUUAUUUUCUGUUCUUUCCCAAAAUUCAGUUUUCCUUUUGGUUUUCUUGUUUUUCUUUCGUUUUAUGUUUUUCCUAUCCAUCGAUCCGUCAAGGGUGAUCGCUCUCGUGUGUCUCGUUUAAUCGGGUGUGAGUCAGGUUUUCAAGCAGUGUCGUGGGAGCAAAUCAAUCAAUCUUGGUGCCAGGG